CUAAUACAUGCAAGUAGAACGCUNGAAGAGAGGAGCUUGCUCUUCUUGGAUGAGUUGCGAACGGGUGAGUAACGCGUAGGUAACCUGCCUUGUAGCGGGGGAUAACUAUUGGAAACGAUAGCUAAUACCGCAUAACAAUGGAUGACCCAUGUCAUUUAUUUGAAAGGGGCAAAUGCUCCACUACAAGAUGGACCUGCGUUGUAUUAGCUAGUAGGUGAGGUAACGGCUCACCUAGGCGACGAUACAUAGCCGACCUGAGAGGGUGAUCGGCCACACUGGGACUGAGACACGGCCCAGACUCCUACGGGAGGCAGCAGUAGGGAAUCUUCGGCAAUGGGGGCAACCCUGACCGAGCAACGCCGCGUGAGUGAAGAAGGUUUUCGGAUCGUAAAGCUCUGUUGUAAGUCAAGAACGAGUGUGAGAGUGGAAAGUUCACACUGUGACGGUAGCUUACCAGAAAGGGACGGCUAACUACGUGCCAGCAGCCGCGGUAAUACGUAGGUCCCGAGCGUUGUCCGGAUUUAUUGGGCGUAAAGCGAGCGCAGGCGGUUUGAUAAGUCUGAAGUUAAAGGCUGUGGCUCAACCAUAGUUCGCUUUG
rnacentral:rRNA from 1 species